GGGCUAUAGCUCAGCUGGGGGGGCGCCUGCCUUGCACGCAGAAGGUCUGCGGUUCGCUCCCUCAUAGCUCCACCA
rnacentral:tRNA from 1 species